UGGCAGCAGUGGGGAAUUUUGCGCAAUGGGGGAAACCCUGACGCAGCAACGCCGCGUGGGUGAUGAAGGCCUUCGGGUCGUAAAGCUCUGUCUGGAGGGAAGAAAUGAUUGGGAGCUAAUACCUCUUGAUCUUGACGGUACCUCUGAAGGAAGCACCGGCUAACUCCGUGCCAGCAGCCGCGGUAAUACGGAGGGUGCAAGCGUUGUUCGGAAUUAUUGGGCGUAAAGCGCGUGUAGGCGGUCUUUUAAGUCUGAUGUGAAAGCCCCGGGCUCAACCUGGGAAGUGCAUUGGAAACUGGUAAACUUGAGUACGGUAGAGGUAAGUGGAAUUCCAAGUGGAGCGGUGGAAUGCGUAGAUAUUUGGAGGAACACCAGUGGCGAAGGCGGCUUACUGGGCCGGAACUGACGCUGAGGCACGAAAGCGUGGGGAGCAAACAGGAUUAGAUACCC
rnacentral:rRNA from 1 species